GAUGAACGCUAGCGGCAGGCCUAAUACAUGCAAGUCGAGGGGUAGAAGAGGCUUGCUUCUUUGAGACCGGCGCACGGGUGCGUAACGCGUAUGCAACCUACCUUCAUCUGGGGGAUAGCCCGGAGAAAUCCGGAUUAAUACCGCAUAAAAUCACAGGAUGGCAUUAUCCAAUGAUCAAACAUUUAUGGGAUGGAGAUGGGCAUGCGUGUCAUUAGCUAGUUGGCGGGGUAACGGCCCACCAAGGCGACGAUGACUAGGGGAUCUGAGAGGACGGCCCCCCACACUGGUACUGAGACACGGACCAGACUCCUACGGGAGGUAGCAGUAAGGAAUAUUGGUCAAUGGAGGCAACUCUGAACCAGCCAUGCCGCGUGCAGGAAGACUGCCCUAUGGGUUGUAAACUGCUUUUAUUCGGGAAUAAACCUUAUUACGUGUAAUAAGCUGAAUGUACCGAAGGAAUAAGGAUCGGCUAACUCCGUGCCAGCCGCCGCCGUAA
rnacentral:rRNA from 1 species